UCCCCCAGUGCUCUGCCUGGCCCCUCACUGUCCCUCCACCCAGUGCCUUCAAUUGCUCAACCUGGGAUCCCCGCUCAGUUGACCUUGCUCCCGCAGGCUGGAGCAGGCUGACCUCAUUCUGGCCAUGCUGGACGCUUCUGACCUGGCCUCUCCCUCCAGUUGCAACUUCCUGGCCACCGUCGUAGCCUCUGUGGGAGCCCAGAGCCCCAGUGACAGCAGCCAGCGCCUCCUCCUGGUGCUGAACAAGUCGGACCUGCUGUCCCCGGAGGGCCCAGGUCCCGGUCCUGACCUGCCCCCGCACCUGCUGCUGUCCUGUCUGACGGGAGAGGGGCUGGACGGCCUCCUGGAGGCGCUGAGGAAGGAGCUAGCUGCAGUGUGUGGGGACCCGUCCACAGAUCCCCCGCUGCUGACCCGAGCAAGGCACCAGCACCACCUCCAGGGUUGCCUGGAUGCCCUCGGCCACUACAAGCAGUCAAAAGACCUGGCCCUGGCGGCAGAGGCGCUGCGGGUGGCCCGGGGUCACCUGACCCGGCUCACGGGUGGAGGGGGUACCGAGGAGAUC
rnacentral:sRNA from 1 species